CCUACGGGAGGCUGCAGUCGAGAAUCAUUCACAAUGGGGGAAACCCUGAUGGUGCGACGCCGCGUGGGGGAAUGAAGGUCUUCGGAUUGUAAACCCCUGUCAUGUGGGAGCAAAUUAAAAAGAUAGUACCACAAGAGGAAGAGACGGCUAACUCUGUGCCAGCAGCCGCGGUAAUACAGAGGUCUCAAGCGUUGUUCGGAAUCACUGGGCGUAAAGCGUGCGUAGGCUGUCUCGUAAGUCGUGUGUGAAAGCGGCGGGCUCAACCCGCGGACGGCACAUGAUACUGCGAGACUAGAGUAAUGGAGGGGGAACCGGAAUUCUCGGUGUAGCAGUGAAAUGCGUAGAUAUCGAGAGGAACACUCGUGGCGAAGGCGGGUUCCUGGACAUUAACUGACGCUGAGGCACGAAGGCCAGGGGAGCGAAAGGGAUUAGAUACCCUAGUAGUC
rnacentral:rRNA from 1 species